UACAGAGGUCUCAACCGUUGUUCGGAUUCAUUGGGCGUAAAGGGUGCGUAGGCGGUCGUGCAAGUCGGAUGUGAAAUCUCAGGGCUCAACCCUGAAACUGCAUUCGACACUGCGCGGCUAGAGUGCUGGAGGGGAGACUGGAAUUUACGGUGUAGCAGUGAAAUGCGUAGAUAUCGUAAGGAAGACCAGUGGCGAAGGCGAGUCUCUGGACAGCAACUGACGCUGAGGCACGAAGGCCAGGGGAGCAAACGGG
rnacentral:rRNA from 1 species